rnacentral:rRNA from 1 species
AAUCAACGCUGGCGGCGUGCCUCAGACAUGCAAGUCGAACGAUUAAAGCUCUCUUCGGAGAGUGCAUAGAGUGGCGCACGGGUGAGUAACACGUAAGUAAUCUACCUUUGAGUGGGGAAUAACGUCCGGAACGGACGCUAAUACCGCAUAAUGCAGCGGCAUCGCAAGAUGACAGUUGUUAAAGAUUUAUCGCUUGAAGAGGAGCUUGCGGCAGAUUAGCUAGUUUGGUAAGGUAAUAGGCUUACCAAGGCUACGAUCUGUAACCGGUCUAAGAGGACGGUCGGUCACACUGACACUGAAUAACGGGUC